CUACGUGCCAGCAGCCGCGGUAAUACGGAGGGUGCGAGCGUUAAUCGGAAUAACUGGGCGUAAAGGGCACGCAGGCGGUGACUUAAGUGAGGUGUGAAAGCCCCGGGCUUAACCUGGGAAUUGCAUUUCAUACUGGGUCGCUAGAGUACUUUAGGGAGGGGUAGAAUUCCACGUGUAGCGGUGAAAUGCGUAGAGAUGUGGAGGAAUACCGAAGGCGAAGGCAGCCCCUUGGGGAUGUACUGACGCUCAUGUGCGAAAGCGUGGGGAGCAAACAGGAUUAGAUACCCUGGUAGUCCACGCUGUAAACGAUGUCGAUUUGGGGGUUGAACUUUAAGUUUGGCGCCCGUAGCUAACGUGAUAAAUCGACCGCCUGGGGAGUACGGCCGCAAGGUUAAAACUCAAAUGAAUUGACGGGGGCCCGCACAAGCGGUGGAGCAUGUGGUUUAAUUCGAUGCAACGCGAAGAACCUUACCUACUCUUGACAUCCAGAGAACAUUC
rnacentral:rRNA from 1 species